CUGAACUAUUUGAGUUAUGUUUGGCAAGUAUUAUUUGUAUGUAUGUUGUGUUUCUGGAAAUUAUAAGAUUCUUAUAACUCUACGGCUACUUCAGUUUUUCUGCAUCAUUGUCUUACUUCCUAUUGCAAGGUGUCAUGUUUGCAAUUUCAGAAAACUGGGCAAGAGAAGCUCGAGAAGCAGUCUGGCAAGGUUAAACAAUGGAGAUGACUUUUUUGUUGAAGCAUUAUGUCAAGAUGGAAGGAUUUACUUCACCAUUGCACUUAGACGUUUUGGAGAUGACUUCUCUGUUUUCUUUACUUGUUUUGAAUGUUAAGGUUUUGGACAUUGUAUGAAUUAUGUUGUAGACGUAAUUUUAUUGACAACUUGGUAGAUAUUGAUAACAAUUGAUAUGUUGAAUGUUUUUAUGUUUUAA